rnacentral:misc_RNA from 1 species
AAAGUCGUAACAAGGUUUCCGUAGGUGAACCUGCGGAAGGAUCAUUCAUAAUUGAGUGUUUUAUGGCACUCUUUAAUAAAUCCAUAUCCACCUUGUGUGCAAUGUUUUUGAACUCUCUGGCGUUGAUAUCUCUCUCUUGAGGGAUGGAGAAGCCAAGAGUUUGAUUAACUUAACUCCUUUAAUGCAAUUUGUCUGAAUAUCUAUUUCUGAAUAAACAUAAUUCAAAAUACAACUUUCAACAACGGAUCUCUUGGCUCUC